AAAAGCUUACUAUUUUGGGUACAUCCUUUUCAACGAGUAUAUUUGUUCUGGUGGCUUAUGACUGAAGAAUUGUUUUUGCCAGGUAUAUCAUUCACUACCUUCUGCUUUGUGCACUUGGCUGGAGGGCAGAGGAUGACAGAGAUCAUUAUGGCAAUAAGAGACUUGACCUUGAUGGUCCUUUGCUUGGUGGACUCUUUAGAAUGUUACUUUUUAUUACUAUUAUUAUUUUUUGUGUGUAGAAGUGCUAGGAUACUUGAGAUUUCACUGUUACAUUAUUGUUCUUAGUUUCUCUGAACUUUGAUACACUGUUUGAUGCAGUUAUUCAGAAAGUUGACUAGGGACGUCAGAUCUUAUGUGCAAAAGUGU
rnacentral:misc_RNA from 1 species